CCCUUAGAUGUUCUGGGCCGCACGCGCGCUACACUGACGAAGUCAGCGAGCAUGUCCUACGCCGACAGGUGCGGGGAAUCUUGUCAAACUUCGUCGUGAUGGGGAUUGAUUAUUGAAAUUCUUGAUCAUCAACGAGGAAUUCCUAGUAAGCGCAAGUCAGCAGCUCGCGUUGAUUACGUCCCUGCCCUUUGUACACACCGCCCGUCGCUACUACCGAUUGAACGGUUUAGUGAGGGCCUCGGAUUGGUCUCGGCCCGCUCUUUACCGGGCGGCGCCGUUGGUCGAGAAGACGCUCGAACUUGAUCGUUUAGAGGAAGUAAAAGUCGUAACA
rnacentral:rRNA from 1 species